rnacentral:misc_RNA from 1 species
GAAUAAGAAAGAGCCUCCCUUUAAAAAGCAGAAAAACGAAUCGUCUCAAGUUGGGCCUCCAAAAUCUACAUAUAAACCUGGCAUGUCAUCGUUACCUGCCUCGAAGGAUAGGCUAUCAUCUUCACCUAUUCCAUCGCCACCCGAGCAAUCCGGUGCUCCAGUAUCUCAAUUUGGAUCUGCAAACUCCAUGAAGACUCAUGCAUUU